UACGUAGGGUGCGAGCGUUAAUCGGAAUUACUGGGCGUAAAGGGUGCGUAGGCGGAUAGGUAAGUUAGGAGUGAAAUACCCGAGCUCAACUUGGGAACAGCUUUUAAUACUGCGUAUCUAGAGUUUAUCAGAGGGGGGUAGAAUUCCAAGUGUAGCAGUGAAAUGCGUAGAGAUUUGGAGGAAUACCGAUGGCGAAGGCAGCCCCCUGGGAUAACACUGACGCUCAUGCACGAAAGCGUGGGGAGCAAACAGG
rnacentral:rRNA from 1 species